CCUUCGAUAGCUCAGUUGGUAGAGCGAUGGACUGUAGUUAAUGGGCACAAUUUGGGUGCCAUAUAUAGAUAUCCACAGGUCGCUGGUUCGACUCCGGCUCGAAGGA
rnacentral:tRNA from 1 species